UGAGAUGUACCUUUGAGCUUCGGGCUGCACGGUCCUGAGGCCAGGAGUCUGGGAGACCCAGGAAGCAAGCUCUGCUGGAGUGGACUUCCCAGGAGGACCCCAACCCCCUCUGCUGGAGUGGUUCCUGGGGGUCUGCAAGAGUUUUAAUCCCCGAGGGCGGUGUCCUCCUCGGUCGGGAUUGUGCUUCCGGUGCGAAGGUCACGGACAAGAUGGUGCCGCCGGUGCAAGUCUCUCCGCUCAUCAAGCUUGGCCGCUACUCCGCCCUGUUCCUCGGCAUGGCCUACGGAGCCAAGCGCUACAAUUACCUGAAACCUCGGGCAGAAGAGGAGAGGAGGAUAGCCGCUGAGGAGAAAAAGAAGCAGGACGAACUGAAGCGGAUCGAGAGAGAACUGGCAGAAGCCCAAGAGGACAGCAUAUUGAAGUGAGCCUGCAUUUCUCUGGAGCAGCGUGGAUGAAUAAAGCCUUUUGUGCUGUGUA